CUACCUUCGAAUUUGGGAUAACCUCGCGAAAGCGGAGCUAAUACCGGAUAAUAUCAAGUAAACUUCGGUUUAUUUGAUCAAAGGUGGCCUCUACAUGUAAGCUACUGUUUGAAGAUGAGCCCGCGUACCAUUAGCUUGUUGGUAUGGGUAAUGGCCUACCAAGGCGACGAUGGUUAGCUGGUCUGAGAGGAUGAUCAGCCACACUGGAACUGACACACGGUCCAG
rnacentral:rRNA from 1 species